CCAAUAGCGUAUAUUAAAGUUGUUGCAGUUAAAAAGCUCGUAGUUGAAUUUCGGGAUCGGACUGUCGGUCGUGCCUCGGUACGCACUGGCAUUAUUGGUUCCUACCUUCUGAAGAACCGCGAUGUCAUUAAUUUGGUGUCGCGGGGAAUCAGGACUGUUACUUUGAAAAAAUUAGUGUGUUUAAAGCAGGCUUACGCUUGAAUACAUUAGCAUGGAAUAAUGAAAUAGGACGUUUGAUUCUAUUUUGUUGGUUUCUAGGAUCGACGUAAUGAUUAAUAGGGAUAGUUGGGGGCAUUAGUAUUCAAUUGUCAGAGGUGAAAUUCUUGGAUUUAUUGAAGACUAACUACUGCGAAAGCAUUUGCCAAGGAUGUUUUCAUUAAUCAAGAACGAAAGUUAGGGGAUCGAAGACGAUCAGAUACCGUCGUAGUCUUAACCAUAAACUAUGCCGACUAGGGAUCGGAUGAUGUUAAUUUUUUAAUGACUCAUUCGGCGCCUUACG
rnacentral:rRNA from 1 species